UACAGAGGUCUCAAGCGUUGUUCGGAUUCAUUGGGCGUAAAGGGCGCGUAGGCGGCUUGGCAAGUGGAUGGUGAAAUCCCUCGGCUUAACCGAGGAACUGCCAUCCAGACUGCUUUGCUUGAGGCCGGGAGAGGUGAGUGGAAUUCCCAGUGUAGCGGUGGAAUGCGCAGAUAUCAGGAAGAACACCAACGGCGAAGGCAGCUCGCUGGGACGGAACUGACGCUGAGGCGCGAAAGCGUGGGGAGCGAACAGG
rnacentral:rRNA from 1 species